CGUAAUUACGUAAACGGUGAACCUGCCGUCACUGGUGGCGUCGCGAUUGCCGAUCGAGUUGGGGAUUCGUCGGGGAAAUAUUUGGGGACUCUUCGCGUUUAUUAUUUUGGUCCGGUAUAACGUACGGGGGUAUGCUUGCCGUGGCCUCUGGCGUUUCAUCAGCGCCAGAAAAGGAUUAUUAAUUAAAAAAAAGACCUGAUGGAGAUACGAUCGGAACCUCCUUUGUCAACAAACCCGAUCAGAACCUCCUUUGUCAAAAAUCUCGUCGUGGCCGUUUUGCGAAACAGUCCCUAUGUUUAUGAGAAAUCAACCUGCAGUCCCAUCAUAAGUCAGCCCCAAACCGGUACAGAGGAGAGAAAAAAACAUCGCCCAACACGACCCGGCCUCCUCGAUCCAAUCUCCACCUCCAUCCCGCCGUCACCUCCUGCCCACCUCGUCCUUCCCCAAACGGCGGCCAUGAUGGAGAGCGCCACCUAGCUCCUG
rnacentral:lncRNA from 1 species